rnacentral:rRNA from 1 species
UACGUAGGGUGCAAGCGUUGUCCGGAAUUAUUGGGCGUAAAGAGCUCGUAGGCGGUUUGUUGCGUCGGCUGUGAAAUCCCGAGGCUCAACCUCGGGUCUGCAGUCGAUACGAGCAAACUAGAGUGUUGCAGGGGAGACUGGAAUUCCUGGUGUAGCGGUGAAAUGCGCAGAUAUCAGGAGGAACACCGGUGGCGAAGGCGGCUUUCUGGACAAAUACCGACGCUGAGGCACGAAGGCUAGGGGAGCAAACAGG